rnacentral:rRNA from 1 species
UACGUAGGUGGCGAGCGUUGUCCGGAUUUACUGGGCGUAAAGAGCGCGCAGGCGGUCGUUCAAGUCGCGUGUGAAAGCCCCCGGCUCAACUGGGGAGGGUCACGCGAUACUGAUCGACUCGAAGGCAGGAGAGGGUAGUGGAAUUCCCGGUGUAGUGGUGAAAUGCGUAGAUAAUCGGGAGGAACACCAGUGGCGAAGGCGACUACCUGGCCUGUUCUUGACGCUGAGGCGCGAAAGCUAGGGGAGCAAACGGGG